UGGCCACAUCAAAUUGAAACACCGGUUCCCAUACGAUCACCAAAGUUAAACAAUGUUGAGCCUGAUCAGUACCUAGAUGGGUGACCACUUGAGAGCACCAUUUG